AUUGAACGCUGGCGGCAUGCCUUACACAUGCAAGUCGAGCGGUAGAGAGGUGCUUGCAUCUCUUGAGAGCGGCGGACGGGUGAGUAAUGCCUAGGAAUCUGCCUGGUGGUGGGGGAUAACGUUCGGAAACGGACGCUAAUACCGCAUACGUCCUACGGGAGAAAGCGGGGGAUCUUCGGACCUCGCGCCAUUAGAUGAGCCUAGGUCGGAUUAGCUAGUUGGUGAGGUAAUGGCUCACCAAGGCGACGAUCCGUAACUGGUCUGAGAGGAUGAUCAGUCACACUGGAACUGAGACACGGCCCAGACUCCUACGGGAGGCAGCAGUGGGGAAUAUUGGACAAUGGGCGAAAGCCUGAUCCAGCCAUGCCGCGUGUGUGAAGAAGGUCUUCGGAUUGUAAAGCACUUUAAGUUGGGAGGAAGGGUAGUAACCUAAUACGUUGCUACUUUGACGUUACCGACAGAAUAAGCACCGGCUAACUUCGUGCCAGCA
rnacentral:rRNA from 1 species